rnacentral:rRNA from 1 species
CCCUUAGAUGUUCUGGGCCGCACGCGCGCUACACUGGUGCAUUCAACGAGUGUACCUUGGCCGAGAGGCCUGGGCAAUCUUUUGAACGUGCAUCGUGAUAGGGAUAGAUUAUUGCAAUUAUUAAUCUUGAACGAGGAAUUCCUAGUAAACGCAGUUCAUCAAACUGCAUUGAUUACGUCCCUGCCCUUUGUACACACCGCCCGUCGCACCUACCGAUUGGAUGGUCCGGUGAAGCCUCGGGAUUGUGGCGGUUGCCUUUAUUGGUGGCCGCCGCGAGAACUUGUCUAAACCUUAUCAUCUAGAGGAAGGUGAAGUCGUAACA